rnacentral:rRNA from 1 species
CACAGCCAUAUGCUACCAUGGCAGCCCAAACACACUAAGUUUGUAUGACUUUGGAAGCUAAGCAGGGUUGGGCCUGGUUAGUACUUCUAUGGAGACCUCCAUGUAAUUCCAGUGAUCUUCAGGCAAGGUUGAGA